UACAGAGGUCCCAAGCGUUGUUCGGAUUCACUGGGCGUAAAGGGUGCGCAGGUGGUUUGGCAAGUUUGACGUGAAAGCCCCGGGCUUAACCCGGGAAUGGUGUUGAAAACUGCUUGAACUGGAGGGUCGGAGGGGGGACUGGAAUUCUUGGUGUAGCAGUGAAAUGCGUAGAUAUCAAGAGGAACACCAGUGGCGAAGGCGAGUCCCUGGACGAUACCUGACACUGAGGCACGAAAGCCAAGGGAGCAAACAGG
rnacentral:rRNA from 1 species